ensembl:lncRNA
CCGAGACAGCACUGUGUGAGACAAUCUGUUUUCCUUUUGCCUGGCUCUUAUCAGUGAAAUAUGAUGGCCACAGAUGUGCCCAAAUUUGAAGAAAAAUAAUCUUUUACAUCUUGUAUGUGGAAUGUGGUCUUUCACCGUAGGAACACCAAAUAACCAGUGCAACGUUUAAGUUUCAAGCCUGACAUUGUUCACUCUGCCAGCCUUUUGAAAGCCUUCUUUUAUUAAGAGCCAGGUUUCCCACUGCUCCCCUGUGUGAGGGGAGGUGCCUCGCUGGUGCUAAGUCUGCAGGUAGGUACUUAUGAGCAGUGGGCAGAUCCACAUUCCUGCUUCACCCACCCUUCCACUCUGCUCUCCAGAAACAAAGGUGCAUGACACAGCAGUGCCAGAGAUGUUCACAGCCACUCCAGGACAGAGGAGGACCUCCUGUCUUCCAGCACUGCUCCUGGGAAAGCUCUGCCUGAGGCACGACAGAGUGAGGAAAAAGGCAGCCUGGUUCCAGCCAGGGAUGGAAAUUAUUCUGGCAAGGUGUUCGUGAACCAGAAGGUGAAAACCUGUUGGUGUCAGCAGGAGAAAGAGACUAAGAGGCAGAUGGUGUCAGUUAAAAAAGCUGGGAUCACAAGUCUGCUUCUUUUCUGAAUGAUUAUCAGUAGGAUGAGAGACUGAUGCCUGAAGAGAUGCUGGGUGAAUUAUAUACACUUGAGAAGGCUCUUCACACACAUGGAAUGAACACAAAGCUGAUGGAAGUGGCUGACUGUGGCUGCUAAGGGGAGUGUGGUGACCGGUCCAGGAGGAUCAAAGGGAUGGGAAUGCAGCAGAGGCUUCAGCUGACAUUGGGAAUCAUGGGACAGACCCUUUUGUUGAGUGGCAUUGCUAUGCGAACUGGUGUGAUUGUGGUGGUGGAUGUCACACAGACAUCUUCCAUCUGAUGUGACAAAAAACUACUCUGCUUUCUCCCUGCCUCACCGACAUAGAAAGUCAC